rnacentral:tRNA from 1 species
UGGGGUGCGGCCAAGCAAUAAGGCAACAGGUUUUGAUCCUGUUACUUAGAGGUUCGAAUCUUUCCGUCCCAG